UCAGCCUCGGCUAACUACGUGCCAGCAGCCGCGGUAAGACGUAGGAGGCGAGCGUUGUCCGGAGUGACUGGGCGUAAAGGGCGCGCAGGCGGCGCCGCGCGCCCCGGGGUGAAAGGCCCCGGCUCAACCGGGGGACGGCCCGGGGGACGGCGGCGCUGGAGGGCGGCAGAGGCCGGUGGAAUUCCCGGUGUAGUGGUGAAAUGCGUAGAGAUCGGGAGGAACACCCGUGGCGAAGGCGGCCGGCUGGGCCGACCCUGACGCUGAGGCGCGAAGGCCCGGGGAGCGAACGGGAUUAGAUACCCCGGUAGUCCGGGCAGUAAACGAUGUCGACUGGCCGUGGGCUGGCUUGACCCGGUCCGCGGCGGAGCUAACGCGGGAAGUCGACCGCCUGGGGAGUACGGCCGCAAGGCUAAAACUCAAAGGAAUUGACGGGGGCCCGCACAAGCAGCGGAGCGUGCGGUUUAAUUCGACGCAACGCGCAGAACCUUACCAGGCCUGGACGGGGGACUGCGGACCCGUGAAAGCGGGUGGCCUUCGAGGGGGUCCCUCAGGUGCUGCAUGGCUGUCGUCAGCUCGUGCCGCGAGGUGUUGGGUUAAGUCCCGCAACGAGCGCAACCCCCGCGGCCCGUUAGAGGGUCACAGGCCGGACUGCCGGUUGCAACCCGGAGGAAGGCGGGGAUGACGUCAAGCCCGCAUGGCCCUGACGGCCUGGGCGACACGCACGCUACAAUGGCCGGGACAAUGGGUGGCCAAGCCGCAAGGCGGCGCCAAUCCCCCAAACCCGGCCCCAGUUCGGAUCGGGGGCUGCAACUCGCCCCCGUGAAGGCGGAGUUGCUAGUAACCGCGGGUCAGCCAUACCGCGGUGAAUCUGUUCCCGGGCCU
rnacentral:rRNA from 1 species